GUGCCAGCCCGCCGCGGUAAUACCGGCAGCCCGAGUGAUGGCCGAUUUUAUUGGGCCUAAAGCGUCCGUAGCUGGCUGCGCAAGUCCGUCGGGAAAUCCACGUGCUCAACGCGUGGGCGUCCGGCGGAAACCACUCGGCUUGGGGCCGGAAGACUCGAGGGGUACGUCUGGGGUAGGAGUGAAAUCCCGUAAUCCUGGACGGACCGCCGACGGCGAAAGCACCUCGAGAAGACGGACCCGACGGUGAGGGACGAAAGCCAGGGUCUCGAACCGGAUUAGAAACCCUAGUAGUCC
rnacentral:rRNA from 1 species